GAUGAACGCUGGCGGCGUGCCUAAUACAUGCAAGUCGAGCGAACAGACGAGGAGCUUGCUCCUCUGACGUUAGCGGCGGACGGGUGAGUAACACGUGGAUAACCUACCUAUAAGACUGGGAUAACUUCGGGAAACCGGAGCUAAUACCGGAUAAUAUAUUGAACCGCAUGGUUCAAUAGUGAAAGACGGUUUUGCUGUCACUUAUAGAUGGAUCCGCGCCGCAUUAGCUAGUUGGUAAGGUAACGGCUUACCAAGGCAACGAUGCGUAGCCGUCCUGAGAGGGUGAUCGGCCACACUGUAACUGAGACACGGUCCAGACUCCUACGGGAGGCAGCAGUAGGGAAUCUUCCGCAAUGGGCGAAAGCCUGACGGAGCAACGCCGCGUGAGUGAUGAAGGUCUUCGGAUCGUAAAACUCUGUUAUUAGGGAAGAACAAAUGUGUAAGUAACUAUGCACGUCUUGACGGUACCUAAUCAGAAAGCCACGGCUAACUACGUG
rnacentral:rRNA from 1 species